AAGAGUUUCUAAGCUCUAAACCCAAUCGUGGACCGCGAAAACGUUGCCUCGGCGGGCUUGCCCGCCGGUGGCCUCAGCUUAAAACGCUUUGCAACGUUUAUCUGAGUGGCGCAAGUCUUAUAUUGCAAAAUAAGUCA
rnacentral:misc_RNA from 1 species